rnacentral:rRNA from 1 species
GAUGAACGCUGACAGAAUGCUUAACACAUGCAAGUCAACUUGAAUUUGGGUUUUUAACUUAGAUUUGGGUGGCGGACGGGUGAGUAACGCGUAAAGAACUUGCCUCACAGCUAGGGACAACAUUUAGAAAUGAAUGCUAAUACCUGAUAUUAUGAUUUUAAGGCAUCUUAGAAUUAUGAAAGCUAUAAGCACUGUGAGAGAGCUUUGCGUCCCAUUAGCUAGUUGGAGAGGUAACAGCUCACCAAGGCGAUGAUGGGUAGCCGGCCUGAGAGGGUGAACGGCCACAAGGGGACUGAGACACGGCCCUUACUCCUACGGGAGGCAGCAGUGGGGAAUAUUGGACAAUGGACCGAGAGUCUGAUCCAGCAAUUCUGUGUGCACGAUGAAGUUUUUCGGAAUGUAAAGUGCUUUCAGUUGGGAAGAAAAAAAUGACGGUACCAACAGAAGAAGUGACGGCUAAAUACGUGCCAGCAGCCGCGGUAAUACGUAUGUCACGAGCGUUAUCCGGAUUUAUUGGGCGUAAAGCGCGUCUAGGUGGUUAUGUAAGUCUGAUGUGAAAAUGCAGGGCUCAACUCUGUAUUGCGUUGGAAACUGUAUAACUAGAGUACUGGAGAGGUAAGCGGAACUACAAGUGUAGAGGUGAAAUUCGUAGAUAUUUGUAGGAAUGCCGAUGGGGAAGCCAGCUUACUGGGCAGAUACUGACGCUAAAGCGCGAAAGCGUGGGUAGCAAACAGG